rnacentral:tRNA from 1 species
GAGGGUAUAGCUCAAGUGGUAGAGCACAUGCUUAGCAUGCACGAGGUCCUGGGUUCAAUCCCCAGUACCUCCA